UACGUAGGGGGCAAGCGUUGUCCGGAAUUAUUGGGCGUAAAGCGCGCGCAGGUGGUUUCUUAAGUCUGAUGUGAAAGCCCACGGCUCAACCGUGGAGGGUCAUUGGAAACUGGGGAACUUGAGUGCAGGAGAGAAGAGUGGAAUUCCACGUGUAGCGGUGAAAUGCGUAGAGAUGUGGAGGAACACCAGUGGCGAAGGCGACUCUGUGGCCUGUAACUGACACUGAGGCGCGAAAGCGUGGGGAGCAAACAGG
rnacentral:rRNA from 1 species